UUUUUUUUUUUUUUUUUGCCAUACCACAGCAUAUGGAGGUUCCCAGGCUAGGGGUCCAGUCGGAGCCACAGCUGCCAGCCUACACCACAGCCACAGUAACGUGAGAUCCAAGCUGCUUCUGCAACCUACACCACAGCUCAUGGCAACGCCGGAUCCUUAACCCACUGAGUGAGGUUCCUAGUUGGAUUCGUUUCUGCUGCACCAUGAUGGGAACUCUGACAGCUUGUGAAGUUUCUAACAGAAACUAGAGGAGCCCACCUGUCUUUUAUUUUAUCAGUAAAUAAACCUAUUAAAAGGGCCCUUCCACCUCAAGCCCAUGGAAUGAGAAAGGAACACUGAAUAAUUUAAAAUUGAAAUUAUUUUAAAGGAAUUUAACCUUCUUUGGCGUCUUUUUUUUUCUUUUGUCUUUUGUUGUUGUUGUUGUUGUUGCUAUUUCUUGGGCCGCUCCCACGGCAUAUGGAGGUUCCCAGGCGAGGGGUCCAAUCGGAGCUGUAGCCACCGGCCUACACCAGAGCCACAGCAAUGCAGGAUCCGAGCCGUGUCUGCAACCUACACCACAGCUCACGGCAACGCCGGAUCGUUAACCCACUGAGCAAGGGCAGGGACCGAACCCGCAACCUCAUGGUUCCUAGUCGGAUUCGUUAACCACUGCGCCACGAUGGGAACUCCGGCGUCUUUGAAUUCAUUAAAAAGUAAGGACAAGGCUUCAAGGACCAUAGGGACAUCACUGAUAUUCAACUUUGAAAAGUUCGUCUGAUGCUAAUGAGAACAGACCCUGUACUGCCUCAUUCUAGGAAUCUCAGAGAUUUUAUCAAAAUGUAUUUAGUGCUAGUUGUUUAACCCCAUCCUAGAUAUCUUAUUAACAUAGAUUUUGGAAGAGAGAGACAUUUUAUUCUUCUCAGGAACUGAUUUUUUGGGGGCCUGAAUACAUCAGUGUGGAUAAAGCCUAUAGCAUCACCCCAAGAAGAAAUGCAUCAAGCAGGUACAUGGGUCUGCAGAGGCGAUGUGCCCGAGUUGUUGUCGCCGUGAAACUAUUUGAAACAACCUAUGAAGCUUUAGAUAGUGUUUAGAAGACAAUGUUCGAAAUCGUCCUGGCUGUACUGUUUUGGCUUCUGCUGUUGUUUUGUUCCUCUAGGAGGGGCUGAAGUGCAAGGGCGUAUGGAGAGGUGUCCAUGGGCUCAGGGAUUUAGAGACGAUACCGAUGAGACAGUGAGAGAAGAGGAGCAGAGAGGGACAAGGGUUCUGGGGGCCUGGUAGGGUUGCUGGAAUUCAGCCUCUGCCUACAGGUGCUAAAUUGAAAUGCAGAGGCAGCGUUUUGGGUAAGGGAGAAAAAAAUAGCUUUAUUUCUUUUCCAGGCAAAGGAGGGUCACAGCGGGUCGAUGCCCUAAAGACUGUGUCCCCCUUUAGAAAGGAAUGCUAGGAGUUUUAUAGUAAAAAGGAGAAAAACAGGUUUUCAGAUAGGAAUCAGGAUUGGGACAAACAUGCCUUCUUCUUUCUUUGGGGGACUCUUAGUCAUCAAAGCGGGAGUCAGGAGAUCUCGGCCUGGUCAUGAUGGUGGUUGUCUGGGUUACGGCCUCGAAUAACAGUCCUUGUGAAAAGGGCCUAUGGAUCAGAGGGGAGCAAAAACUAGGAGAGUGCCUGAAAACAUCAUGCGCUCAUCAUCUUUAACCACAGCAACUGUGCUCAGGUACCUAACCUUUAGCUUAUGAGUGAUUGUGUUUUGGGUGCAGUUGAGCCAGGGAGAAGGACACAAAGGACUCUACACUGUCCCUCCCUGGCCUCUGCAUCCCCUCCCUUCCCUGAUCAGCAACUGUCAGAACCUGUCCCUGGGAACUCAGGGAAGGUCAUGGGGGCUGAAUGAGGCCCAUUUCUUAAGAACAAGAAAUGGGGACACAGACGAGCUCUUGCUCCCAGGAGCCCGCAGGGCUGGGCUCAGUUUCAGCAGGGCUGGAAGAGGAAGCAAGGAGGUUGGCACAUAGGUGGCUCCAUCAUUCAGAGGUGGUCCUGGGGUGUCAGUCCCCAUGGGAUCCACAGCCCCACCCCCCCGCCCCACGACAAAGACUACCUGGGUGGACCUUCCAGCACCUUCUCUGGCUGACUCUUGGUCCCCAUCUGCCAGUCCGUCGGUGGCUCAGGGCUGAGGAACAGGGAAGGGCUCCGUGACCAUGCGCCCGGGGCAACAGUAGACACGUCAACACUUUCUUCCAAGAAUACGCUACUUGGAAUUAAAAAAAAAAAAUCAAUAUUUUUUUUUCUUUAAAGCACAAAAGGAAUCAAUCAGUGUUGGUUUUCUUUAGCCCCUGGUGUAGUAUAAUUUUGUAUCACUGCCUGCGUUUGUCAGAAUAAAAAGAAUACUAACCCACCAGCAUGACAGGGGGUGCCUGUGGGCACCUGCCAGGUGCCGUGAUAGCGUGAAGACAAACACAGCAUCAGGGGCUGGUGCAGGGGAGAUGGCUGAGGACAGAGGGGUCUGGACGAUGCCACUGUGUGGGGUCUUUGUGAGCCAACCUUAUGCCAACACUGGAAGCCCCAGGUGCAAAGAGAGCCGAGGCCACGGAGCAUUGGUCGGUGGGGAUGGCAGGGCUGCCAAGGGGAGACAAGGGGCCCUCCCAGGCUUCCCCAGGGGACAGGAAACCUGAGUUUCAGAAGCUGCAGUAGAGGGUGGUCCUUUGUGACUGUCCCCAUCCUCCCUCAGUCACAUCCCGGCUGGCAUGGCACGGGCACCUCCCUGCUGGCAUGGCGUGGGCACCUCCCUGGGGAACAAGAAUGCCCCCCAAGGCCAAGGGCCUUUGGAUCGCGUCAUGUUUUAUAACAUUGUGUGUUUUAUCAUGACAUAAUUUAGAGAUACCCGUUUAAUCUUUCAAGACACGAAGGUAAGAAACUCACUGUCUUUGCUGAUCCCACUGUGGGGGUUCAGACUCUCUCAGCUACAGCAUGCUUUGCACCAGCUGUGGAUUUUUUUUCAGCCAGGCAUUCCUAACACGACAUCCUUAUUAACAGACUUUCAGAACUGGUGAGAGACACUCAUCCAGUUGCCACAAGAAAACAAAAAUAUUUCCCUGCGGAAGUGGAGUUGGCUUGAUGGCUUGGAACGUGAACCC
rnacentral:lncRNA from 1 species